rnacentral:rRNA from 1 species
AGUGAACGCUGGCGGUAGGCCUGACACAUGCAAGUCGAACGGCAGCACAGUAAGAGCUUGCUCUUACGGGUGGCGAGUGGCGGACGGGCGAGGAAUACAUCGGAAUCUACUUUUUCGUGGGGGAUAACGUAGGGAAACUUACGCUAAUACCGCAUACGACCUACGGGUGAAAGCAGGGGAUCUUCGGACCUUGCGCGAUUGAAUGAGCCGAUGUCGGAUUAGCUAGUUGGCGGGGUAAAGGCCCACCAAGGCGACGAUCCGUAGCUGGUCUGAGAGGAUGAUCAGCCACACUGGAACUGAGACACGGUCCAGACUCCUACGGGAGGCAGCAGUGGGGAAUAUUGGACAAUGGGCGCAAGCCUGAUCCAGCCAUACCGCGUGGGUGAAGAAGGCCUUCGGGUUGUAAAGCCCUUUUGUUGGGAAAGAAAAGCAGCAGGUUAAUACCCCGCUGUUCCGACGGUACCCAAAGAAUAAGCACCGGCUAACUUCGUG